rnacentral:lncRNA from 1 species
UUAGAAAAUCAAUGAGUUCCAGUUAGUCUUCUCUAGGUAAGAAAUAAAUUUAGAGUUAUACAGUAACAACAAUUAAUUAAUAAUAUAGCUUUUGUAAAUUCUGGUUAAGAGCCGUGUUGAUAACUCAAUGUCAACACUCAACAUGGAAACGUUCAAAAAUUUAUUUCUUUUAUGUUUCUUUGUGCUAUAUUAUAAAACAAAUAUAAAACUUUUUUCCAUAUUGAUAUACAGUUAUAUCAACACUUGUGGAAAUUGGGAAAACUCAAAAUUGGGUGAAAACACUCCACACAAUUUAUAGUUUUCCCAAUUGCCACUUGUGUUGACUCACUUGAUAAAACUGCAUAUCAACACGGAAAAUGUUUUGGUUUUAUAUUUGUUAAAUAUAUAAUCUGUCAUUUCUGUACCGUUUUUUCAGUAGUUUAGUAGGUUUUGUCCCAACAUGUGCACAUGCCAGUGUCCCAAGAAAUUAAUUCCCCCUCUCAACUUUGCAUAAUGUCCUAAACCGGAGACACUUUCACGAAAUAUAAGAUAAAACAUACUACAGUACAAAUAUUAAUAUCUGGUAAACUCAAGAUUUGAGCUGUUUAAAUAAGACAACGAAAUUGAAGCUCAUAUUUCGACAUAUUGGCUUGUUUAUAUGGCUCAAAUAUUAACCCAUUGAGCCACAAUGCGCCCCAGUGCACCCUACCUCUGCAGCUUAAUGGGUUAACCAAAAAAAUCUGACAAUGUCUCUGUAGUUAUAACGUCCCAUUGAGCCCCAGUGCACCCUACUUAUUUUUUUCACUUGUCUAACGCCAGACGAUUUUACUCGUCAAUGGGGACGCUCUGCAGCUUAAUGGGUUAAAAUCAUAGAAAUAAUAGAUAUUUAUAUAUUAUUUCUAUAGUUAAAAUUGAGUUUACAAGAUACAUUAUUUAGAGUGUGUUAUAUGUUACAUUUCUCAUUGGCAGGUGAAUACCCUACUGUAGGGAUAUUGCUCUUUCAGAGGUCGAAUUUCCUGGGAAAUUUGUCCUCUUUUACAGUUGCAAACAUGAACUGGAAUAAAUUGCACUUGCUAUUAAUCUGGCCACAGUGCACAAUUUUAUUCAUUUGAGAUGUACAACAGCAUUUGUUGAAUUGACAAAGACUUGUCUUUACAUUGUCUUACGAACUGUACUGUACCUGUAAAAUUAUGGUAAAAAAUAAAUUAAAAUUUUUAGUUUUCUUGCUCGUGAUCAAGUCAAAGAAAAAGAAAAAGAUGAGAAAUUUAUUGGAUCUUUUAAAGAUUUCUGGAAAUCUAUCAGUACGCUGCUGGAAUCUGAGAAAAGAGAAGUGGUAAUAUGAAAUUUAAUUCAUUUUUAUUAGCUGACUCAGGGUUCGUAGCGGUCUUUGAAAUCCUUGAAAGUCUUUAAAUUGGAAUGCAGGUCUUUGAGGUCUUUGAAAAGUCUUUACAUUGCGUGAAAAAGCGAAGAAAGUCUUUAAAGUCUUUGAAUUCUUCAGUGAGGAAUUGAUUAUACGAUUUCCUAGCUAAUAAAAUAGAUUGAUUGAAUCCAGAUUUUUGCAAAUAUCGACGAAAAGGCGCAUUUUAGGAUGUGAUUUGAUGGGACUAAUUACUGGGUAAAAAUGGUGCUUACUUUCGCAAUUUUUCGCGGCUGAUUCCUCUCAAAGGUCUUUGAAAAGUCUUUGAAAAUAGACAGAAAAGUUGAAUUGAAAGUCGUUGAAUUUUUUUGGUCUUGGAGACUACGAACCCUGUGACUUUAAAACACUCAUUAAUAUUCAUUACUAGGUAGAUUCAUGAGCCAUUAGAUCAUGCGCGUGCGUCAUAUUCCUGAUAAACGUCACCCUACUUGGAAGCUAAUGGAAGCUAUAACGUUUAAUGCCCAAGCUUUACCAUAGAUUGCUA